rnacentral:rRNA from 1 species
UAUUGGACAAUGGGCGCAAGCCUGAUCCAGCCAUGCCGCGUGAGUGAUGAAGGCCCUAGGGUUGUAAAGCUCUUUUGUGCGGGAAGAUAAUGACGGUACCGCAAGAAUAAGCCCCGGCUAACUUCGUGCCAGCAGCCGCGGUAAUACGAAGGGGGCUAGCGUUGCUCGGAAUCACUGGGCGUAAAGGGUGCGGAGGCGGGUCUUUAAGUCAGGGGUGAAAUCCUGGAGCUCAACUCCAGAACUGCCUUUGUGACUGCAAGGCUAGAGUGCGUCAGAGGGAGGUGGAAUUCCGCGUGUAGCAGUGAAAUGCGUAGAGAUGCGGAGGAACACCGAUGGCGAAGGCAGCCUCCUGGGAUGACACUGACGCUCAUGCACGAAAGCGUGGGGAGCAAACA